GACGAACGCUGGCGGCGUGCUUAACACAUGCAAGUCGAACGGAAAGGCCCUGCUUUUGUGGGGUGCUCGAGUGGCGAACGGGUGAGUAACACGUGAGUAACCUGCCCUUGACUUUGGGAUAACUUCAGGAAACUGGGGCUAAUACCGGAUAGGAGCUCCGGCUGCAUGGUGGGGGUGGGAAAGUUUCGGCGGUUGGGGAUGGACUCGCGGCUUAUCAGCUUGUUGGUGGGGUAGUGGCUUACCAAGGCUUUGACGGGUAGCCGGCCUGAGAGGGUGACCGGCCACAUUGGGACUGAGAUACGGCCCAGACUCCUACGGGAGGCAGCAGUGGGGAAUAUUGCACAAUGGGCGGAAGCCUGAUGCAGCAACGCCGCGUGCGGGAUGACGGCCUUCGGGUUGUAAACCGCUUUCGUCUGUGACGAAGCGUGAGUGACGGUAAUGGGUAAAGAAGCACCGGCUAACUACGUG
rnacentral:rRNA from 1 species